CAGGCCUAACACAUGCAAGUCGAACGAGAAAGUGGAGCAAUCCAUGAGUAAAGUGGCGACCGGGUGAGUAACACGUGACUAACCUACCUUUCAGUGGGGAAUAACCUCGGGAAACCGGGGCUAAUACCGCAUAAUGUCUUCGGACCAAAGGAGCAAUUCGCUGGAAGAGGGGGUCGCGGCCGAUUAGCUAGUUGGCGGGGUAACGGCCCACCAAGGCAAUGAUCGGUAGCCGGCCUGAGAGGGCGCACGGCCACACUGGAACUGAAACACGGUCCAGACUCCUACGGGAGGCAGCAGUGGGGAAUUUUGCGCAAUGGGGGAAACCCUGACGCAGCAACGCCGCGUGGAGGAUGAAGCCCCUUGGGGUGUAAACUCCUUUCGAUCGGGACGAUGAUGACGGUACCGGAUGAAGAAGCACCGGCUAACUCUGUGCCAGCAGCCGCGGUAAUAC
rnacentral:rRNA from 1 species